rnacentral:rRNA from 1 species
AACGAACGCUGGCGGCAUGCCUAACACAUGCAAGUCGAACGAGAUCUUCGGGUCUAGUGGCGCACGGGUGCGUAACGCGUGGGAAUCUGCCCUUUGGUUCGGAAUAACAGUUGGAAACGACUGCUAAUACCGGAUGAUGACGAAAGUCCAAAGAUUUAUCGCCAGAGGAUGAGCCCGCGUAGGAUUAGCUAGUUGGUGUGGUAAAGGCGCACCAAUGCGACGAUCCUUAGCUGGUCUGAGAGGAUGAUCAGCCACACUGGGACUGAGACGCGGCCCAGACUCCUACGGGAGGCAGCAGUGGGGAAUAUUGGACAAUGGGCGAAAGCCUGAUCCAGCAGUGCCGCGUGAGUGAUGAAGGCCUUAGGGUUGUAAAGCUCUUUUACCCGGGAUGAUAAUGACAGUACCGGGAGAAUAAGCUCCGGCUAACUCCGUGCCAGCAGCCGCAGUAA